CCUACGGGCGGCAGCAGUGAGGAAUAUUGGUCAAUGGACGAGAGUCUGUACCAGCCAAGUAGCGUGAAGGAUGACUGCCCUAUGGGUUGUAAACUUCUUUUAUAUGGGAAUAAAAUGUUCCACGUGUGGGAUUUUGUAUGUACCAUCUGAAUAAGGAUCGGCUAACUCCGUGCCAGCAGCCGCGGUAAUACGGAGGAUCCGAGCGUUAUCCGGAUUUCUUGGGUUUAAAGGGAGCGUAUGUGGAUUGUUAAGUCAGUUGUGAAAGUUUGCGGCUCAACCGUAAAAUUGCAGUUGAAACUGGCAGUCUUGAGUACAGUAGAGGUGGGCGGAAGUCGUGGUGUAGCGGUGAAAUGCUUAGAUAUCACGAAGAACUCCGAUUGCGAAGGCAGCUCACUGGACUGCAACUGACACCGAGGCUCGAAAGUGUGGGUAUCAAACAGGAUUAGAUACCCUUGUAGUC
rnacentral:rRNA from 1 species